ensembl:lncRNA
AUGGAGGGACGGCGCCCACAGACUAUGAAGACGCGCCGGAGAGACGAUUCAUCUCCGCGAGAUACGCAGAGCGGCGGCGGCGCGAGGACGGAGGAACGCUGCGAGCCGAGCAUUCAUCGCCCGUCCCCCUCGUCCCUCCACCCACGGGUGGUGACAUCACUGUGGACGAGUCCUGAGGCCAAACCAGGUCUCCAGCUGCAGCGGAGGGGCAGAAGAAAGAAAGAAAGAAGUUGUUGUUGUGUUUGUAUCCACAUCUUAUUAUGUUCCAUCCUGGUUGUGUUAAGCUUCCUCCUUCUGUUGCCUGAGGAGGAGUUUGAUAUUUUUUGAAUGCUGCAAAGACACCAGGAACCUUCUUAAUGUGCUCCUGUAUUCAUAUAUUUGUUGUCCAUAAGCAGCAGACACUCAGAGCAGAGAUCUGUUGUUGUUGUUGUUGUUGUUGUCACUUAUGUCUUUCCUAAUGUUCCUUCUCCUUUUAAAGAUGUGUUGAUUAACAAUUAACUUUGCAUAUUUUCAGUAAUAGUUGAAUAUGCAUCAAUAUGCAGAUCUUAUUGUGGAAGUUUUCAGCUUUUUGUCAGAUUUUUAUACAAAGCUUUUCUUCAUGGUGUUUCUGUCUUUGACGUCAGGAUCGAGCAGGACCUUUUCCAACCCACUGUCUUUUAGGGACACAUGGUUUUCCUCUUUUUACAGUUGAAUUUUUCUCAUCUCUACCUUUGUUUUCGUGCCGUCACCAUCUCGGUUACUAAGAAGUGAAAUGCAAAAGACAGGUAGCACAUCCGUUUACUCCUCAGUACACAUUUUGUCGUGUCGAUUCCAGAACUGUGAAAGACCAAUAUUGCUUUCCUUUCCUUUUCUUUUCUGUUUUUUUCUUUCUCUCAGAUUUCAAAUUGAGGUCUCUGCAAUUCCCCCCAGAAAAUGAUCAAACGUAAAAUAUUCCCCCAGCUGAUUGGAAGGCUCCUGCAGGUAAAGUGUCACACAGCAGCGCUCUUUGCAGUCUGGAUGCAUCCAGGAUUUAUGGUGAGCUCUUAGCAAUUAUAAUAGCAUCUAAAAUUCUCCAAAUCUUUUUCUUUUCUUUUGUGUAAAGUCCACUGAGCCUAACAAUGUUUUUUAUUGGCUCAAAAUGACCCCUUCCUGUUUACAUAUUUACAAAUGCAUAUGAGUCAACUGUGUUUUUCACAGCUCAAACCAUCCUUCCUAAAUAACAGACUCACUAAGCUCUGCGAUUCUAGCAUUUUGAUUUAUUGGAGGUUUGCACUUACGGAUGCAGGCUUCACACCAGCGUUGUCUUGGUUUGAAUUUAUUGACGGACGUCCACGUGAUCUCUCCCUGUUUAUAGCACCCUUUAGAUCAACUUCACACGAUCGCUCGCUAUCUCAAACGGGAACCUGUUGAAUAUGAUUCACAAUGCUUAAUGUUCCGUGGCUCAGGAGAGAGCGGCGCACAGCAUGCUCGAAGACAGUCGAUGAAUAGAGAGCGGCUUUGGGGUGUAGAAGAUACACAAAGAUGUUCACACGUGUGAUGUGGCGGUGCUUUGAUUGGGAGAGAAAAUCAAUAAGGUAAAUAUUAAAAAGUGCUGAGUAGAAUUAUUCAGGCCUGAAUCAACCACACACUUGAGAAGUCAGACUUUAAGUGUCGUUAUUAGAGUAGUUAAAUGUCCUUUGUCUUUUUGUACACCGACGGCAAAAGAAGCCAAAGCUUCACGUCUUAACACUUGCAUUCUCCCCACUGACCAGCAGGGGGCGACUCCUCUGGUCCCAUAGAAGUCUAUGACAAAAUGACUCUACUUCUCUCUUGAUUUAUUCCCUCAGUAAACAUUGUAAACAUGAGUUUAUGGUCUCGAUCUCUAGUUUCUAGUGUUCUUCAACACAGCGUGGUUCAUUUUUUUAAAUGAUGGUCCAUUUAGAGUCAAACAGGCCAUAAAGCAGAGGACGCUUUAGGGCGGUUUUCUUUUCUGAAUCAAAAAAAGUAGUAAACUUGCACUUUUCUGUUUUUUUUGUUCUUUAUUUCAAAAUGUAAGAAAUGUGCCUCAAAGCGUUUCACACUGUCACCGCAAACCGGGAGAAACUUGUUGAGCUCGUAAUGCAAUUGAGAUUGCAGCUCUAUGGAAAUAUGAGUCUUUAGGACAAGGCGUUACAGCUAUCGCCCGCGGCAACGCAGUCGUGCUACCGCCUUGAAUUGCAUGUAAACAACAUUACGUAUUCAAACCACUUUCCCUCAUCAUACAUCACAAUCUCAGGCCUCAGGAAUAUGAAAUCCAAUGAGCGUUGAUUUGAACGUGAUAGUGAGUUAUGUUUAUUUAUUCCUUUAUUUGACAGAAACAGCUUGUUAGCAGUUAGCAGAGUUAGCUUUAGGCUAAUUCAAAUCAUUAGUCGAUAAUCGGGAAAAAGACAAUUAAAUGUAAAGUGGUACAUUUUAGGGUAUUUCCUUUGGUUUGCAUGUUCCACGUCUUAGUGUGCAUUCUGUCUCUUGUCUUCUAAACUCAAAACGUCAACGUGAGGACAGAGCGGACACACAUAGAUCCAACAAGCAGCGUGCGAUGCGUACGAUGCAGCGGAGGAGUCGGCACACGGUCUCCGUAAUGUAACACACAUCGCGCCCGGUGAGUCAGCGCAUGAUCAAUCUUGUUUUUCCUUUCUCGGCGCCGGCGGCUCUCAGAAUUAACUCAGUCACACGGAGAUGUGUAAACGGGGAGAACGAGAUGGAUUUCAGCCGGAGAGGAGAUUUGCACACCGGCCAAAAUCAAUUUACAAUGCAAAGUGGACUUUAAAAGUUGCUGUGGUAUCUGGAAAAUAAUGAUUCGAUUUCGCAAUACCAAUUAUACAGGAAAAAAGAAAAAAGAUUUUUGAUAGUUGGGUUGAUGCAUUUUUGAAUCUGUAAUAAGUAUUAUGUAGCGUGCAGCACCUGACUGAAUUCAACGUUGCUGUUUCCAGCAGGCUCUUAAUAAAACUACAAUAAUAACUGUGCGACUGUGCUUCACAUCAAAAAAUGAAUCAAAGAGACGUUUUUACAAAUGCAGAAAGCGUGCAUUUUCCACUUGAACCAAUAAUAAAGUGUUUAAAGGCAAAAAAAAAGGUCAUUUGAAAGAAGCAUGUGUGACUUUGUCCUGACCUUUCAAGGAGUCGCCGCAGCCGCGCCGCUCGGCGAACGCGACGCGCGCGUGCGGCCUUGUUUUUAAAGCAGUAAUCUUUCAGAGGCAAUUGGCCCUAUCCGGCAAGCCGCCAUCUCUUAUGCCACCCGGUAACAGCUUUGCCCGGCUUCUGAUAGGCUGAGAUAGCAGAUGGCUAACGAUGACGGAUGGGUUAUUUACUGAGCUGAAACAAGGUUGUGUGAAAGAUGUGUGUGUGUGUGUGUGUGUGUCGAGGGGCGGUGAUGACGGCGGUGACGGUGAUGUUUUUUUUGCUUGUUUGAUUUCUUUGUGCUUUGGGAGUCUCUUUCUUGUUUGAUCCAUUCGCUCACUCAUUCUUUCUGUUGUUGUCUCUUGUUCUUCCCGGCUCCUUUGAGGUGCUCGAGGCCGUCGCCCACAUUUUCUGCCUUCCUCCACUUCCUGCUCGCUCUUAUUUUUUUCUUCUUCUGGCCCCACUGCUUGUUUGCGACACGAGACAAGACAAUUUCUACCUGACGCCUUCAGUGAGGGACGGCACCAGACGAACGAGGGUAACGCGACCCCCCCCCCCACGGGGCCGUUUGCCCUCUGGUGACCCGUGGUGCAUUCUGGGUUUGACACCUGACGACGGCUGACCUGCUUCAUCAUGUGAUCGACAUCACAUCGUGUGUGUGUGUGCGCGCGCACGUCCGUCUCCUCUUCCUCAAGCCAGAUCCGACCCCAAUUAACACAGCACGGAUGACCUCUGACCCCUAAAAAAUGAUCCAUGAUUAUCGUUGUCCAUCUGCUGAUGAAGAAGAACAACGGGUCAGGGGGGUUAGGGUGUGUUCAGGGUGAGGGGGGGGCUUUACACCAUGACGAUUUUAUAUUUUAGCGUCUUUCUUCACUGAGAUGUGACAGAAUGAGUCGUGUGGUGGAGGAGAUAUUAGAGGAGGACAAAGCACGCGAGGUUAAGAAGGAAACUGCUGUUUGAAGCUCCAUGUGGAUUAAUGUGCACUUCAGUGUCUCCUGCAGCAGUCAGAUAUCAUGCAUAUGUAAACCCCCACCGUAACAGGGUCAUGGGCCUGAUUUAACCUGAGACUCUAAUUGAAAUUGAAAAGAAGUAACCAAAAGGUUCAUUUAUUGUUGCUU